GGCUUGCUUAAAGGGGCCGUAGCCGGUUUUGCAAAUGCCCUGUGAAAUCGUCCCGCUUAACGGGUCGGCGUGCAGGGUAGACUACAAAACUAGGGACCAGGUGAGGUAAGCGGUAUUCCUGAGGGAGCGGUAAAAUGUGAUAAUCUCAGGAGGACCACCAAUAGCGAAGGCAGUUUACCAAAAUGGAUCCGACGGUGAGGGAUGAAAGCUAGGGGAGCGAUCUGGAUUAGAUACCCAAGUAGUCCUAGCCGUAAACGCUGCGUGCCAGAUGUUGCGCAAUCUCCGAGAUUGCGCGGUGUCGAAAUGAAGGUGUUAAGCACGCCACCUGGGAAGUACGGUCGCAAGUCUGAAACUUAAAGGAAUUGGCGGGGGAGCACCACAACAGGUGCGGUGUGCGGUUUAAUUGUAUUCAACGACGGAAAUCUCACCAGGGGCGACGGCAGAAUGACACCCAGUCUGAAGGGCUUGGUUGACGAGCCGAGAGGUAGUGCAUGGCCGCCGUCAGCUCGUGCUGUGAAGUGUCCUGUUAAGUCAGGCAACGAGCGAGACCUGUAUUCAUCGUUGCUAACGCGUUCGCAAGAACGAGCGAGCACACUAUGAAGACUGCCUCGGAAACGAGGAGGAAGGUGCAGGCCACGGCAGGUCCGCAUGCCCCGAAAAGC
rnacentral:rRNA from 1 species